rnacentral:rRNA from 1 species
AUUGAAUGCUGGCGGAAUGCUUUACACAUGCAAGUCGAACGGUAGAGGGGCAACCCUUGAGAGUGGCGAACGGGUGAGUAAUGUAUCGGAACAUGCCCAGUCGUGGGGGAUAACGUAGCGAAAGUUACGCUAAUACCGCAUACGAUCUACGGAUGAAAGCGGGGGACUCGCAAGAGCCUCGCGCGAUUGGAGUGGCCGAUAUCAGAUUAGGUAGUUGGUAGGGUAAAAGCCUGCCAAGCCGACGAUCUGUAGCUGGUCUGAGAGGACGACCAGCCACACUGGGACUGAGACACGGCCCAGACUCCUACGGGAGGCAGCAGUGGGGAAUUUUGGACAAUGGGCGCAAGCCUGAUCCAGCCAUUCCGCGUGCAGGAAGAAGGCCUUCGGGUUGUAAACUGCUUUUGUACGGAACGAAACGCGCUAGGUUAAUACCCUGGCUAAUGACGGUACCGUAAGAAUAAGCACCGGCUAACUACGUGCCAGCAGCCGCGGUAACAC